UACGGAGGGUGCGAGCGUUGUCCGGAUUUACUGGGCAUAAAGAGCGCGCAGGCGGUCGUUCAAGUCGAGUGUGAAAGCCCCCGGCUCAACUGGGGAGGGUCACUCGAUACUGAUCGACUCGAAGGCAGGAGAGGGUAGUGGAAUUCCCGGUGUAGUGGUGAAAUGCGUAGAUAUCGGGAGGAACACCAGUGGCGAAGGCGACUACCUGGCCUGUUCUUGACGCUGAGGCGCGAAAGCUAGGGGAGCAAACGGG
rnacentral:rRNA from 1 species